AAAUCCGCUUUGAUAAUGCUGGGAUGUGAUGGGGAGCGAAAUUUAGUAGCGAAGUAGCUGAUUUCACACUGUCAAGAAAAGUCUCUAUCGAGGUUAAAGGUACCCGUACCGCAAACCGACACAGGUGGGCGAGGAGAGUAUCCUAAGGCCAGCGAGAGAACUGUUGUUAAGGAACUCGGCAAAAUGACCCCGUAACUUAGGGAUAAGGGGUGCCACCAUCAGGUGGCCGCAGAGAAUAGGCCCAAGCGACUGUUUACCAAAAACAUAGGUUUCUGCUAAGUCGCAAGACGAUGUAUAGGAGCUGACGCCUGCCCGGUGCUGGAAGGUUAA
rnacentral:rRNA from 1 species